UACGGGGGGGGCAAGCGUUGUUCGGAAUUACUGGGCGUAAAGGGCUCGUAGGCGGCCAACUAAGUCGGACGUGAAAUCCCUCGGCUUAACCGGGGAACUGCGUCCGAUACUGGAUGGCUUGAGUACGGGAGAGGGGGGUGGAAUUCCUGGUGUAGGGGUGAAAUUCGUUGAUAUCAGGAGGAACACCGGCGGCGAAGGCGGCCCCCUGGCCCGCAACUGACGCUCAUGGUCGAAAGCGUGGGGAGCAAACAGG
rnacentral:rRNA from 1 species